CAGCAGCCACGGGAAUACGUAGGGCGCAAGCGUUAUCCGGAAUUAUUGGGCGUAAAGAGCUCGUAGGCGGUUUGUCGCGUCUGCCGUGAAAGUCCGGGGCUCAACCCCGGAUCUGCGGUGGGUACGGGCAGACUAGAGUGAUGUAGGGGAGACUGGAAUUCCUGGUGUAGCGGUGAAAUGCGCAGAUAUCAGGAGGAACACCGAUGGCGAAGGCAGGUCUCUGGGCAUUAACUGACGCUGAGGAGCGAAAGCAUGGGGAGCGAACAGGAUUAGAUACCCCGGUAGUCCCUGUCUCUUAUAC
rnacentral:rRNA from 1 species